GCUAAGUCUAGGUUAGCUCCCGAAAGUCGGACACCCAAUCCGAUUGGCUUAGCAUCAUUUUGGGG
rfam:Acinetobacter towneri strain 5-2Ac02 scaffold38.1, whole genome shotgun sequence.